GACGAACGCUGGCGGCGUGCUUAACACAUGCAAGUCGAACGGUGAAGCGCCUUCCUUUUUGGUGGGUGUGGAGGAGUGGCGAACGGGUGAGUAACACGUGAGUAACCUGCCCCCUUCUUCUGGAUAACCGCAUGAAAGUGUGGCUAAUACGGGAUAUUCUGGGUCUGUCGCAUGAUGGGUCUGGGAAAGAUAUUGUUUCUGUGGGGGAUGGGAUCGCGGCCUAUCAGCUUGUUGGUGGGGUGAUGGACUACCAAGGCGGUGACGGGUCGCCGGCAUGGGAGGGUGGCCGGCACUACGGGGAGUGCAACACGCACAGGACUCCGAGGGGAGGCAGCGGGGGAGAAUAGUGAACAGUGGGGAAAAGGCUGCAGCAGGGCCGCGUCGGGAGGGAUGGCGGCCUGCGGGUUGUGAACCUCUUUCGCGAGUGAAGCGGGGCAGCCUCGUAUGUGGGUGGGUUGACGGUAGCUGGAUAAGAAGCGCCGGCUAACUACGUG
rnacentral:rRNA from 1 species